CUUCCUUUUAAUGACAAAUUUAAUAUAAGAGUAAAGUGCCAUCCCUUAGCUUGGACGACACUUUACACACAUGCAUUAAACUCCAUUUUCUCAGAGCAUCCUGUGGUGCUAGGAUUUGAGCCCAAGUUUGGAGGAUUAAGAGGCUAAAUUUGUACACUUAACAACAUUUUGCAGAAACUUUUAUAGUUUGAAAAUGCAAACCAGAUAUACAGCUAGUUAAUAAUGUAUGGUAUUUUCCUAAACAAAAAGACACGUUUAAUCAAAAGAAAAUUAUGUACACUUCCAAAACAUUAUGCUAAAUACAUGUUCUUUAACAUAUG